UGAAUACGAGAUGCUACGGCGUCGAAGCAGUCUAUGUCAUACUUCCAAGAAAAGCUUGCACUGUCAUAAACAAAUAAUGCCUGUACCAUAACCGACACAGGUGGGUAGGUAGAGUAUACUAAGGGGCGCGAGAUAACUCUCUCUAAGGAACUCGGCAAAAUGACUCCGUAACUUCGGGAGAAGGAGUGCCUUAUUUAUAAGGUUGCAAUAACAAGAUCCAAGCAACUGUUUACCAAAAACACAGGUCUCCGCUAAGUCGUAAGACGAUGUAUGGGGGCUGACGCCUGCCCAGUGCCAGAAGGUUAAAGAAGUUGGUUAGCAUCCGCGAAGCUGAUAACUGAAGCCCUGGUGAACGGCGGCCGUAACGAUAACGGUCCUAAGGUAGCGAAAUUCCUUGUCGGGUAAGUUCCGACCCGCACGAAAGGCGUAAUGAUUUGGAUACUGUCUCGGAGAGGGGCUCGGUGAAAUAGACUUGUCUGUGAAGAUGCGGACUACCUGCACCAGGACAGAAAGACCCUAUGAAGCUUUACUGUAACCUGAAAUUGAAAUUGGACUUUACUUGCGCAGUAUAGGUGGGAGGCGUUGAGAAUAUUCUUGCGGGAUUAUUGGAGCCAUCAGUGAGAUACCACUCUUGUAAUGUUAGAUUUCUAACUUUGUAUCAUUAUCUGGUCAAAGAACAGUUUCAGGCGGGCAGUUUGACUGGGGCGGUCGCCUCCUAAACGGUAACGGAGGCGCACAAAGGUUUCCUCUGAACGGGUAGAAAUCGUAUCUAGAGUGUAAAGGCAUAAGGAAGCUUGACUGUGAGACCUACAAGUCGAGCAGGGACGAAAGUCGGUCUUAGUGAUCUGACGGUGCUGAGUGGAAAGGCCGUCACUCAACGGAUAAAAGUUACUCUAAGGAUAACAGGCUGAUCUCCCCCAAGAGUUCACAUCGACGGGGAGGUUUGGCACCUCGAUGUCGGCUCAUCGCAUCCUGGGGCGGUAGUACGUCCCAAGGGUUGGGCUGUUCGCCCAUGAAAGCGGUACGCGAGCUGGGUUCAGAACGUCGUGAGACAGUUCGGUCCAUAUCCGGUGUAGGCGUUAGAAUAUUGAGAGGAGCCUUCUUUAGUACGAGAGGACCGAGAAGGACAUACCUCUGGUGUACCAGUUAUCGUGCCAACGGUAAACGCUGGGUAGCUAUGUGUGGAGUGGAUAACCGCUGAAAGCAUCUAAGUGGGAAGCCCACCUCAAGAUAAGUAUUCUCA
rnacentral:rRNA from 1 species